rnacentral:rRNA from 1 species
ACGGUCCUAAGGUAGCGAAAUUCCUUGUCGGGUAAGUUCCGACCUGCACGAAUGGCAUAACGAUGGCCCCACUGUCUCCUCCCGAGACUCAGUGAAGUUGAAGUGUUUGUGAUGAUGCAAUCUCCCCGCGGCUAGACGGAAAGACCCCAUGAACCUUUACUGUAGCUUUGCAUUGGACUUUGAACCGAUCUGUGUAGGAUAGGCGGGAGCCUGUGAAACCACAACGCCAGUUGUGGCGGAGGCGUCCUUGAAAUACCGCCCUGAUUUGUUUGAGGUUCUAACCUGGGACAGUUAUCCUGUCCGGGGACCGUGCAUGGUAGGCAGUUUGACUGGGGCGGUCUCCUCCUAAAGGGUAACGGAGGAGUGCGAAGGUACGCUAGGUACGGUCGGAAAUCGUGCUGAUAGUGCAAUGGCAAAAGCGUGCUUGACUGCGAGACCCACAAGUCGAGCAGAUACGAAAGUAGGUCAUAGUGAUCCGGUGGCUCUGUAUGGAAGGGCCAUCGCUCAACGGAUAAAAGGUACUCUGGGGAUAACAGGCUGAUACCGCCCAAGAGUUCAUAUCGACGGCGGUGUUUGGCACCUCGAUGUCGGCUCAUCUCAUCCUGGGGCUGUAGCCGGUCCCAAGGGUAUGGCUGUUCGCCAUUUAAAGAGGUACGUGAGCUGGGUUUAAAACGUCGUGAGACAGUUUUGUCCCUAUCUGCCGUGGGCGCUGGAAGAUUGACGGGGGCUGCUCCUAGUACGAGAGGACCGGAGUGGACUCACCUCUGGUGUACCGGUUGUCACGCCAGUGGCAUCGCCGGGUAGCUAUGUGGGGAAGAGAUAACCGCUGAAAGCAUCUAAGCGGGAAACUUGCCUGAAGAUAAGUCUUCCUGGAGGCUAGACCUCCCUAAAGAGUCGUUCGAGACCAGGACGUUGAUAGGAUGGGUGUGUAAGUGCUGUGAGGCACUCAGCUAACCAUUACUAAUUGCUCGUGAAGCUUGAUCCU